rnacentral:lncRNA from 1 species
GGAAAUCUGGACUUCAGAGAUCUAGUUCCACCUCCUGAACCAAAAUGCCUUCUUUUCUAAGAUGAAUACUGCAAAGGGCAAUAAGAAGAAGCUCUUCAAGGAUCAAGAUCUGAGGCAAUAUUUCAUAAAAGAUCACCUUAUGUGGUAGUAGUCUGGAGAUCCCAAAGUAUCCACCAAAGAAAAGUUCAAGAAUGGAUGGUGCCCUAUGUCAUGUUUAUGGCAGGUAAGGACUCACAUUUCUGGUAGAAAUAUCAUGGUGCUUUUUGCGCUAUACUGCAACUUUCAGGGCUGACUACUUAAGUACUAAGAUGAAAACUUUGUAAUAUUUCAGUAGAUAGUUUUUGGCAUGCAUUUGAGAUACAAUGAAGAGAUUUCCCUGAAGUACAGAAGGGACUUGAUCAUACUUCUAACAUCAAAUUACUGAGAAAGUGAGUCCCUUUGAAACAUCUAUUGUAUAUGGUCAGAAUAAUCCUUACAAAAAUAUCAUUCUUUCACAAAAGAAGUGUGAUUCCAAACCACUAAAAAAACUAACAUAAAUAUGUCCACAGCUUUAUUGUUUAUGUGAAAAGUGAAGGAAGAAAGCUGAAUUUGAUGAAAAUCAGUAAAUGAGCUACUCAGGUAAAAUAUAUAAGCAAAAAACCCCAUAAUAACCUGGACCACCCUGUUUGGGAAGAAAUUACUAAAGGUUUGCAGUGUAGUAGUUACUAGAGCUAUCCAGUGUAGUGGAAAGGAGGAAAAAAGAGGGAAGCAGAAAGGGUGUUCUUGAAAACUUGUUUUAUAGGUCAUUUGCUGUUUUAACAUCCCUUCUCCAUACUUCUACUUGUACUAUUUAUCAGUGAAACUAACAUGCAGAAGAAGGCAGGUAGGUACAGAUGAAGACAAAAAAAGAUAAACUGGUUUAAUUGACCAACUGUGCUACUGAGAAGUGAUUAAGGCUCCAUCACUAAAAGAAAGCAGUCAUUUAGAGUUAGAACAUAUUAGUACAACUAGUACAGUGCUGUGUACACAGAAGUUCCAUAUUUCUUUUGAGAUUUUAUAUUUGUCUUCCCAGCACCUUGUAUGAUAUUUGGCAUAUGGCAAAUGCUUGGUUAAUGCUUGUUGUUUGAAGAUAAUUUAUUAUGGCCAUUUAAACAAUGAGAUGAUCACAUUUCAUAAUCAAAAAUAGAUAACAUUCUUAUGACAACUUUCUGAGGAUAAAAUGUUCUUUCCUGGUUAAAAAAAAUAAAUAUAUUUACUUUGUGUACA